GACGAACGCUGGCGGCGUGCUUAACACAUGCAAGUCGAGCGGAAAGGCCACUUCGGUGGUACUCGAGCGGCGAACGGGUGAGUAACACGUGAGUAAUCUGCCCCUGGCUUUGUGAUAGCCACCGGAAACGGUGAUUAAUACCGGAUACGACCACUUCUCGCAUGGGAUGGUGGUGGAAAGGUUUUUCGGCCAGGGAUGUGCUCGCGGCCUAUCAGCUUGAUGGUGGGGUAAUGGCUCACCAUGGCUUCGACGGGUAGCCGGCCUGAGAGGGUGACCGGUCACACUGGGACUGAGACACGGCCCAGACUCCUACGGGAGGCAGCAGUGGGGAAUAUUGGACAAUGGGCGGAAGCCUGAUCCAGCAACGCCGCGUGAGGGAUGACGGCCUUCGGGUUGUAAACCUCUUUCAGCAGGGACGAAGCGCAAGUGACGGUACCUGCAGAAGAAGCACCGGCCAACUACGUGCCAGCAGCCGCGGUAA
rnacentral:rRNA from 1 species